rnacentral:rRNA from 1 species
UUCUUCAGCAGUCCAAAAUAUUAGUCAAUGCUCGAAAGAGUGAACUAGCUAACUGAAAUCAAUUUAAAUUGAUAACAUAAGGGAAAAUAAUGAUAUUACCUUAUUAUUAGUGUCGUCCAAAACUGGUGCCAGAAGACUCGGUAAGGCCAGAGACACAAACGUUAAUCGUCUUAAUCAGGCGUAAAGGGUUUGUAGGCGGCUUUUAAUUUACUUAAAACCAAAAAAAUAAGUUAAGAAUAAAAGCUAGAAUCAAAUAGAGGAUAUAUCAAAUAAUGCUUAGAGUAGGUCCGAUAUCCAUAGAUACUAAGUAGAAUAUUAAAGGCGAAAGCUUUUUUCCAUAAAUGAUUGACGCUCAGAAACGAAGGUGAGGAUAGGAAAUAGGAUUAGAUACCCAAAAUACCCCUCUCUGUCAACGAUGAAUGGUAAUUAUUAAUAAUAAAUUAUUAAUGAUAAUGUUAACACGAUAACCAUUCCGCCUUGUGAGUACAACUGCAAAGUUGAAAACAAAAAAAUUAGUCGGUUUCGGAGCAAACGAAGUGAAGCAUGUUAUUUAAUUCGAUAAUCCGCAAAAGGGGGAA